rnacentral:lncRNA from 10 species
AAAAUGUCAAGCACAAAUAGUGAGGAUUAGCUAUGGAGCGUACUCUCCUUCCACUGUGCUUGGUAGACAGAACCCAGGCUUUGGGGCCCGGGUCUUUUGUAGAGACUCCUGUCUCUGCAAAAAUAAGCCCAAAGCCCAGGCUUUGGAGACAUGGAUUUAAAUCCCAGCUCUGGCACUAACCUACCUUAAUUGCUUCCAAUUCUCAAUUUCUUCAUCUCCAACAUAGGAAUAAUGAUACUUAACGCUACCAUUGGUUGUAAGGAUUUAAAAUGAUUCAUACAAAGUCCCCGAGUCUGGUGCAGGGAUGUCAGACUGGCCAAUUUCAUCAGCCAUGAGAGCCAAAGACUCAGAGGAUACACACACUCGUGUACAAAAGCCUCUGCCAGCCAGCAAAGCCUGUUUGUUUUGUCAUGACAACCCUUGUCACUUCCAUCUGGAGGGUCACAAGUAUUCAUCUACCUUGAGUCAAAAUCGGUUGAUGGAUCUCCGUUUUUGUUGUUUGUUUCCUUUGUUUUGUUUUGUUUUUGAGACGGAGUCUCACUCUGGAGUGCAGUGGUGUGAUCUUGGCUCUCUGAAACCUCCGACUCCCUGGUUCAAGCGAUUCUCCUGCCUCAGCCUCCUGAGUAGCUGGGAUUACAGGCAUGUGCCACCAUGCCCAGCUAAUUUUUGUAUUUUCAGUAGAGACGGGGUUUCACCAUGUUGACCAGGAUGGCCUCGAUCUCCUGACCUUGUGAUCCGCCCGCAUCGGUUUCCCCAAGUGUUGGGAUUACAGGCGUGAGCCACUGCACCUGACCGAUGAAUCUCCUUUUAAAGGCCUCCAUGAGCUGAAAGCUAUGGGGAAACAACAAAAGGUUUUGAGCAGGGUCCAUGCAUUAGAUGGUAAGAGUUAGAUCAGACUGUGUGUGGUGACUCAUGCCUGUAAUCCCAGCACUUUGGGAGACAGAGGCAGGAGGAUUGUUUGAGGCCAGGAGUUCAAGGCUGCAGUGAGCUGAUUGCAGCACUGCACUCCAGCCUGAGCAACAGAGCGAGACACCGUCUCAAAAUAUAUUUCAUAAGAAGUGGCUAGCAGCUGGAUGCAGUGGCUCAUGUCUGUAAUCCCAGCAGUUUGGGUGGCCAACGUGGGUGAAUUGCUUGAGUUCAGAAGUUUGAGAACAACUUGGGCAACAUGGUGAAACUUCAUCUCUACAAAAAUUACAAAAAAUUAGGUGUGUGUGGUGGAGCAAAGCCCGUAGUCCCAGCUACCCAUGAGGCUGAGGUGGGAGGAUCACCUGAGCCCAGGAGGUCAAGGCUGCAGUGAGCUGUGAUUAUGCACUGCACUCCAGUCUGGGUGACAGAGUGAGACCCAACAUAUGAGUAUGUAUUUGUUCAGGCUUCCAGAUGUCUCUGUCCCAUAUUUCUGAUAUUCUCCCAUUGAUAUAGAGAAAGAUAGGUGGCAGAAGGGAGAUAACAGGAAAACUAUAAUCAGGAAAACUUCCAGGUAGAACUGGGAGUUUGGGGGUGGAUCUUUCUCAUGUCUUGAGGAUUUGAGUGGGGAUCACUCAUGCAUGAUCCUAUAACAGGAAAACUCAGGAAUUAGGCAGAGGAAAGCUCAAAGUCUAAGUGACACUGUUGCUUUCCUUACAUGAUGGCCUGUGUGGCGUUUGAAUUGAGUGAGCCUUCAAAGCAAGAAGGCAACUGAGGCUGAGUAUUUAUCUAUCAUCUAUCUAUCACCUAUCUAUCUAAUCUAUCAUCUAUCUAUCUAAUCUAUCAUCUAUCAUCUAUCUAAUCUAUCAUCUGUCUAAUCUAUCUAAUCUAUCAUCUAUCUGUGUAUCUAUGUAUCUAUGUAUCUAUGUAUCUAUCUAUCUAUCUAUCUAUCUAUCUAUCUAUCUAUCUAUGUCUAUCUAGCUAUCAUCAACACAGGGUCUUAUUAUGUUUUCCAGGCUGGUUUUGAACUGCUAAGCUCAAGAAACCCACCUGCCUUGGCCUCCCAAAGUGCUGGGAUUACAGGCUUGAGCCACUGCUCCUGGAUGAGGCUGUUUUUUGUUUGUUUGUUUUUUUGUUUGUUUGAGACAGAGUCUCAC